GACGGAGGAUGCAAGUGUUAUCCGGAAUCACUGGGCGUAAAGCGUCUGUAGGUGGUUUGAUAAGUCAACUGUUAAAUCUUGAAGCUCAACUUCAAAAUCGCAGUCGAAACUAUUAGACUAGAGUAUAGUAGGGGUAAAGGGAAUUUCCAGUGGAGCGGUGAAAUGCGUAGAUAUUGGAAAGAACACCGAUGGCGAAGGCACUUUACUGGGCUAUUACUAACACUCAGAGACGAAAGCUAGGGUAGCAAAUGGG
rnacentral:rRNA from 1 species